UGGUAAUGCCGGAUGCUCCGGUUGGAUGCAUGUCCUUCCGGGAAAGAUUCCAUCGGUAUGGGAUGGGGUCGCGUCCUAUCAGCUUGAUGGCGGGGUAACGGCCCACCAUGGCUUCGACGGGUAGCCGGCCUGAGAGGGCGACCGGCCACAUUGGGACUGAGAUACGGCCCAGACUCCUACGGGAGGCAGCAGUGGGGAAUAUUGCACAAUGGGCGCAAGCCUGAUGCAGCGACGCCGCGUGCGGGAUGGAGGCCUUCGGGUUGUAAACCGCUUUUGAUCGGGAGCAAGCCCUUCGGGGUGAGUGUACCCUUCGAAUAAGCACCGGCUAACUACGUGCCAGCAGCCGCGGUAAUACGUAGGGUGCAAGCGUUAUCCGGAAUUAUUGGGCGUAAAGGGCUCGUAGGCGGUUCGUCGCGUCCGGUGUGAAAGCCCAUCGCUUAACGGUGGGUCUGCGCCGGGUACGGGCGGGCUGGAGUGCGGUAGGGGAGACUGGAAUUCCCGGUGUAACGGUGGAAUGUGUAGAUAU
rnacentral:rRNA from 1 species